rnacentral:rRNA from 1 species
UACGUAGGGUGCAAGCGUUGUCCGGAAUUAUUGGGCGUAAAGAGCUCGUAGGCGGUUUGUCGCGUCUGCUGUGAAACUCAGGGCUUAACCCUGAGCCUGCAGUGGGUACGGGCAGACUAGAGUGUGGUAGGGGAGAUCGGAAUUCCUGGUGUAGCGGUGGAAUGCGCAGAUAUCAGGAGGACACCGGUGGCGAAGGCGGAUCUCUGGGCCAUAACUGACGCUGGAGGAGCGAAAGCAUGGGGAGCGAACAGG